GAUGAACGCUGGCGGCGUGCUUAACACAUGCAAGUCGAACGAUGAAGCCCAGCUUGCUGGGUGGAUUAGUGGCGAACGGGUGAGUAACACGUGAGUAACCUGCCCUUGACUCUGGGAUAAGCGCUGGAAACGGCGUCUAAUACCGGAUACGAGCUUCCACCGCAUGGUGAGUUGCUGGAAAGAAUUUCGGUCAAGGAUGGACUCGCGGCCUAUCAGGUAGUUGGUGAGGUAACGGCUCACCAAGCCGACGACGGGUAGCCGGCCUGAGAGGGUGACCGGCCACACUGGGACUGAGACACGGCCCAGACUCCUACGGGAGGCAGCAGUGGGGAAUAUUACACAAUGGGCGCAAGCCUGAUGCAGCAACGCCGCGUGAGGGACGAAGGCCUUCGGGUCGUAAACCUCUUUUAGCAGGGAAGAAGCGAAAGUGACGGUACCUGCAGAAAAAGCACCGGCUAACUACGU
rnacentral:rRNA from 1 species